CGAAAGGAUGUUUGAAGAGAAGGGGUUGGGGGAAGACAAUAGAAGAGUGGAAGCUGGAAUACUGGGGAUGGAAUGUUUAAGUGUGGAAAUUGGGGGCUUAGAGAUGAAGGGAAAAGUAGGGCAAUAGUGGGACUCAACUCACUAUAAUUAAAUAUGCUGAUUAAUGAAAGACUAAAUAAACUUAGUAGCUCACCCACAAAAGGAAAUAUAAACAAGUGAGGACAAAACUUCUUGAGAAGUGUUUUAACAUGAUAAGGAAGAGGAUAAAAUGUUUGGCAGUAGGUGGCCCAAAGUAUUGAACAGAGUGUUGGUAGCAAUAUCUACUGAAAACCAUGAACACAGCUCAACUUCAAAUGAAGAGACAUCUCAAGUUGAUAUUCUCAUCAAGCCAGAGUGGCCAUCAUCAAGAGGACAACAAAUACUGGUGAGGAUAUGAGGAAAAGGGAAACUUCCUGUAUUACUGAAGGAAUAUAAAUUGGUACAUCCACAGAAAACAGACCUUCUUCAUGGGAGUUCAUCCUUUCCCUUCCAUCACAGGAAAGUAGGGAGGUAAGAGUAAUGGAAGAGAAGGCUUUCCACCUGAAUCACUACUUUAAAGAACUUUCCAUGGAGAGUCAGUCCAUCACUUGUCACUAUGUUUCAUUAGCCAUCUAGUAGCAGGAAUAUUUGGAAAUAUUUUUUAACAAACUGUUUUUUAAGAUAUAAUUUAUUUUAUGUGUGUGG